rnacentral:rRNA from 1 species
UACGUAGGGUGCAAGCGUUGUCCGGAAUUAUUGGGCGUAAAGAGCUCGUAGGCGGUCUGUCGCGUCUGCUGUGAAAACUCAGGGCUUAACCCUGAGCUUGCAGUGGGUACGGGCAGACUAGAGUGCGGUAGGGGAGACUGGAAUUCCUGGUGUAGCGGUGAAAUGCGCAGACAUCAGGAGGAACACCGGUGGCGAAGGCGGGUCUCUGGGCCGUAACUGACGCUGAGGAGCGAAAGCAUGGGGAGCGAACAGG